GAUGAACGCUGGCGGCGUGCCUAAUACAUGCAAGUCGAGCGAACGGACGAGAAGCUUGCUUCUCUGAUGUUAGCGGCGGACGGGUGAGUAACACGUGGAUAACCUACCUAUAAGACUGGGAUAACUUCGGGAAACCGGAGCUAAUACCGGAUAAUAUUUUGAACCGCAUGGUUCAAAAGUGAGAGACGGUCUUGCUGUCACUUAUAGAUGGAUCCGCGCUGCAUUAGCUAGUUGGUAAGGUAACGGCUUACCAAGGCAACGAUGCAUAGCCGACCUGAGAGGGUGAUCGGCCACACUGGAACUGAGACACGGUCCAGACUCCUACGGGAGGCAGCAGUAGGGAAUCUUCCGCAAUGGGCGAAAGCCUGACGGAGCAACGCCGCGUGAGUGAUGAAGGUCUUCGGAUCGUAAAACUCUGUUAUUAGGGAAGAACAUAUGCGUAAGUAACUGUGCACAUCUUGACGGUACCUAAUCAGAAAGCCACGGCUAACUACGUG
rnacentral:rRNA from 1 species